CGCGUUUUCAAUUUCAAGCUGCCUUUCCGGUCACGCUUUGAUGAUACUGGCAUGACGUCAUACGCGUUAUAAAGACAGCGGAUCACACGCUCGUGUCAUAUUGAGAGUUUGUUGUCGUGGAAGGAAGGUUGAAAGCUAUACAGAGGCUUAUAAAUUGAACAUAAAGAAGAGUAUAAGACAAGAAUCUAUCUGUUAAAGAGUUGAGAAUAACAGGAGAACAAUGCGGGACAUUCGGA
rnacentral:lncRNA from 1 species